AAUGGGGGAAACCCUGAUGCAGCGAUGCCGCGUGAGUGAAGAAGGCCUUUGGGUUGCAAAACUCUUUCGUCGGGGAAGGAAAUGACUGUACCCGAAUAAGAAGGUCCGGCUAACUUCGUGCCAGCAGCCGCGGUAAUACGAAGGGACCUAGCGUAGUUCGGAAUUACUGGGCUUAAAGAGCUCGUAGGUGGUUAAAAAAGUUGAUGGUGAAAUCCCAAGGCUCAACCUUGGAACUGCCAUCAAAACUUUUUAGCUAGAGUGUGAUAGAGGUAAGUGGAAUUUCUAGUGUAGAGGUGAAAUUCGUAGAUAUUAGAAAGAACGUCAAAAGCGAAGGCAACUUACUGGGUCACUACUGACACUGAGGAGCGAAAGCAUGGGUAGCGAAGAGGAUU
rnacentral:rRNA from 1 species